ACCAAAUUUUAUUGUAUUGAUAAUAUCCAUCAUAAGACACAUCAUUCUUUUAUGUACCACCAAGAAACAAAAAAUAUCCUGGCAGAUAAACUAUGUCAUCAAUUUUAAGAUGCAUACUGUUUUCAGAGUUAAGUUUGAAACUCUAUUAAUUUAGCUUUUGUAUUUAGAAUUUAAUGUACAAUGAGUUUUGUUGACAUUUCUUUUUUCUUUACUUUGUACACAGAGAGACUCUUCAGAACACUUCAUUUGCUUAGGCUUUUCCAGCCUCAGUUUUCUUAAUUUAAGGAACAGUUCCAUCUAUAAAGAUUGAUAUAAGAAUCUGCUGAGAUGUUGCAUGUGAAUUGAGUGUUGUGGUUCUUGUUUUUGUGACCAUUGUUGUGAAUAAUAAUGUAGACCAUAUAGUGUAGUGUUAGGAGAACUGACUUUGGAAUUAAACUGAGUAAAGUUGAAUCCUAGCUCUGAAAUUUUUAGCUGACGAAUUGUAACCUCUAUGAGUUUCAUGUGUAAAAUGGGUGAUGAUGAGUGGGAGGAGGAAAUAAUAGCUAUCAUUUAUAUAAUGCCUGUUUCAGUCACUGUCCCAAGCACAUUGUAAGUAUUAACUCAUUUAAUCUUCACAACAACCCUGUGAGAUUAUACUUAUUUUACACAUGAAGAAACUGAAGCAAAGAGAGAUUACUAACUUGCCCAAGGUCAUAGAGGUCGUUUGUGAUUGAAAACCAGACAAUUUGUCUCUAGAAUCCAGGCCCUGUGCUCCAACGUCUUCUCAGAAAUAACCAACUUUAUGGGGUUUGUUGUGAAAAUUAAAUCAGGCAAUAAAGUACUUCACACAUAGUGAAUGCUCAGAAAAUGUCAGCAAUUAUCAUCAUCUCCCCCUUGCUAGGGAAAAGUUGAUAAAAUGUAACUUCUAAGAGAGUCCUUAACCUCUCUGGUCUUGGUUUUCUCCUCUAUUUAGUGGCAGUUAGAGAUGUGACCUCUUUGACUUCUAACUCAAUGAGUUUGUGAAAUCAGUCUGUCCUCAGUGUGGAGAAGCUUACAUUAGACUAGUGAUUUUUAUGUUUUCAGCUGGGAGUGAG
rnacentral:lncRNA from 1 species